GGGCACUUAGUUUAGGGGUAUAACGUUCGCUUCGCAUUUGUGUUUGCGAAAGGUCGUGGGUUCAAUUCCCACAGUGUCCA
rnacentral:tRNA from 1 species